rnacentral:lncRNA from 1 species
CCCUGCCUAUGCGGCUGGCUCUGAAGUGCUGGGGGAAUCGGACUAAAUAAGAUUUGCCUGUGCUUUGCCCAGACUGGAGUGCCUCUGGAGAGCCGACUUAGCUUAUAUGGAUGUUACCUAGAAGAAAGGAGACUACUUGUUCCAGGCUCCACCAGUGUGACUGUUUUUAUGUUAGACUAUCAUCUACAAAGUGGGAAUAUAAUGGAGCUGAGAUAAGGAAGCAGCUGAUCUUCACCCCCUGCAUGAGAAUUGCAAGAGGCCACAUCAUUGCAUUCCCUCUUGCCUGUGUUCCUACCGGGMUUGUGGUGAUACCGUACCAUAAACUGCAUAUGAUGCUCAAGAGGUUUGACAUCAUCACGGUUCUGAGAGCUUCCUGGCUGGAUUAUGUCUCCCGUACCAUACCACCCUCUUCACACAAUUCCCAUGGUGUGUUUGGUGCCAGAAGGAAGGCUGCAGAGGUGACUGAGCCCUUUUCCUAAAAUCUGCCUUUGGGACUGAAGAGGCAAAUGGGAAAGGAGUGACUAGCACAAACUGCACAGCGGUAAGAUCCAGCUUUAAUUUAUCAAACCUAGCUGUGUUUCUGCAGCUUCAUACAAUUUAAAUAAGACUUAUCUUGGCAUGUACAUAUGAAUUGAAUUGAAUAAACUCCCUACCUGGUGACA